CUGGCUGUCACUCUAGUCUGAGGCAGCUACAGUGCAUAAUCCGUAUGGGCUUCAUGCCCAGGGUCGGAUUAGCUAUGCCACAGUAGUGUUUACCCGAGAGUGUGGGCGUGGCUGAUGUAUGUGGCUGGCCAGGCGUGUCUUCUACUUCUGCCUGCUGCUAAAUACUGCUGUUUGCAAAGCUGCGUGAGAAACUGCUAAUGAACUGCUGAUAAAUAAUAGGCAAGGGGUGGGGUCUGGUUGCCUGGAAACCCCCCUCCUCUUGGCAAGUGGCUCAAAUUAUGACGAGCAAUUGUAUAUAAUAUGAUUACUAGAGCUGCAACCAUAUCAAGCAUCUUAAGGGACAAAGCAGAGCUGCUGCAUAUGCCCGGUGGUAGCAGUUUUUUUCUACCAAGUAUGCUGUGUGUGUGUGGAUCUGAGUCCUCAAUCAAUGCAUUGGACCAGAGAGUGGCUUCCAGGACAAAGAGACAGAAGCCUUACCAUGAGAGUGGGAGAUUGUGGAUUGCAUUUGAAAACCUUCCUCUAGAAAUUCUGCGUUUCUGUGGCCUGAGGAAGGGAAACCGAUACGCGAUGCCAAUGGAGGGAACCCAAGUGGAAAUGCCCCUUGCCAUCUGCUCCUGGGGACAAAGGACUGCUAUCUUUGUAGAAUAACCGGGACUCUAAUUAUGGGGGUAAUUCCAAGUUGAUCGCAGCAGAAUUUUUUUUAGCAGUUGGGCAAAACCAUGUGCACUGCAGGGGGGGCAGAUAUAACAUUUGCAGAAAGAGUUAGAUUUGAGUGGGUUAUAGUGUUUCUGUGCAGGGUAAAUACUGGCUGCUUUAAUGUUACACUGCAAAUUAGAUUGCAGAUUGAACACACCACACCCAAAUCUAACUCUCUCUGCACAUGUUAAAUCUGCCUCCCCUGUAGUGCACAUGGGCCCUCAUUCCGAGUUUUUUGCUCGCUAGCCGCUUUUCGCAGCAGUGCACACGCUAAGCCGCCGCCCUCUGGGAGUGAAUCUUAGCUUAGCAGAAUUGCGAACGAAAGAAUCGCAAUAUUGCGAAAAGAUUUUUCUGUGCAGUUUCUGAGUAGCUCGAGACUUACUCUUCCAGUGCGAUCAGUUCAGUGCUUGUCGUUCCUGGUUUGACGUCACAAACACACCCAGCGUUCGCCCAGACACUCCCCCGUUUCUCCAGCCACUCCCGCGUUUUUCCCAGAAACGGCAGCGUUUUUUCACACACACCCAUAAAACAGCCAGUUUCCGCCCAGAAACACCCACUUCCUGUCAAUCACACUACGAUCACCAGAACGAAGAAAAAACCUCGUAAUGCCGUGAGUAAAAUACCAAACUUCUUAGCAAAUUUACUUGGCGCAGCCGCAGUGCGAACAUUGCGCAGUUAGCAGAAAAUCGCACCGAUGCGAAGGAAAAUAGUGAGCGAACAACUCGGAAUGAGGGCCAUGGUUUUGCCCAACUGCUAAAAAAUUUCCUGCUGCGAUCAACUUGGAAUUACCCCCUAUGUGCAAGUCUGAUUUCUCGCUCAGACAUUUAUCCAUCUGGGAGGCGUGCAAUUUCACUAGGUUUUUUCCCUUUCUUUGUAUUUGUUUUAUAUGUAUUUUUAAGUGUAUAUUAAAAAGUAUUUGAUUCAGUAUCACAGUAUGCAAAAUAUAUAUAUUUUCUCCAUAUAAAUCCGCUGCAGUUCUGCUGCAGACACUGCAAUAAAGAAAAUUCACUAUUUGA